rnacentral:rRNA from 1 species
AAUAUUGCACAAUGGGCGAAAGCCUGAUGCAGCGACGCCGCGUGAGGGAUGACGGCCUUCGGGUUGUAAACCUCUUUCAGUAAGGAAGAAGCGAAAGUGACGGUACUUGCAGAAGAAGCGCCGGCUAACUACGUGCCAGCAGCCGCGGUGAUACGUAGGGCGCAAGCGUUGUCCGGAUUUAUUGGGCGUAAAGAGCUCGUAGGUGGUUAGUCGCGUCUGCUGUGAAAACUCGAGGCUUAACCUCGAGCUUGCAGUGGGUACGGGCUGACUAGAGUGCGGUAGGGGAGACUGGAAUUCCUGGUGUAGCGGUGGAAUGCGCAGAUAUCAGGAGGAACACCGAUGGCGAAGGCAGGUCUCUGGGCCGUAACUGACACUGAGGAGCGAAAGCGUGGGGAGCGAACA